rnacentral:rRNA from 1 species
GGCGGACGCUGGCGGCGUGCUUAACACAUGCAAGUCGAACGGAAAGGCCCUGCUUUUGUGGGGUGCUCGAGUGGCGAACGGGUGAGUAACACGUGAGUAACCUGCCCUUGACUUUGGGAUAACUUCAGGAAACUGGGGCUAAUACCGGAUAGGAGCUCCUGCUGCAUGGUGGGGGUUGGAAAGUUUCGGCGGUUGGGGAUGGACUCGCGGCUUAUCAGCUUGUUGGUGGGGUAGUGGCUUACCAAGGCUUUGACGGGUAGCCGGCCUGAGAGGGUGACCGGCCACAUUGGGACUGAGAUACGGCCCAGACUCCUACGGGAGGCAGCAGUGGGGAAUAUUGAACAAUGGGCGGAAGCCUGAUGCAGCAACGCCGCGUGCGGGAUGACGGCCUUCGGGUUGUAAACCGCUUUCGCCUGUGACGAAGCGUGAGUGACGGUAAUGGGUAAAGAAGCACCGGCUAACUACGUG